rnacentral:rRNA from 1 species
GAUGAACGCUGGCGGCGUGCUUAACACAUGCAAGUCGAACGAAGCAUUCGCGACAGAUUUUUUCGGAAUGAAGUUGCUUAUGACUGAGUGGCGGACGGGUGAGUAACGCGUGGGUAACCUGCCUUGUACUGGGGGAUAGCAGCUGGAAACGGCUGGUAAUACCGCAUAAGCGCACAAUGUUGCAUGACAUGGUGUGAAAAACUCCGGUGGUAUAAGAUGGACCCGCGUCUGAUUAGCUAGUUGGUGAGAUAACAGCCCACCAAGGCGACGAUCAGUAGCCGACCUGAGAGGGUGACCAGCCACAUUGGGACUGAGACACGGCCCAGACUCCUACGGGAGGCAGCAGUGGGGAAUAUUGCACAAUGGAGGAAACUCUGAUGCAGCGACGCCGCGUGAGUGAAGAAGUAAUUCGUUAUGUAAAGCUCUAUCAGCAGGGAAGAUAGUGACGGUACCUGACUAAGAAGCUCCGGCUAAAUACGUG